GGCCCGGUAGUGGAUGCAACACCGGCGCCGGUCUUCACACGGCAGGAACGGGGGUUCAAAUCCCUUCUGGGCCG
rnacentral:tRNA from 1 species